GACGAACGCUGGCGGCGUGCUUAACACAUGCAAGUCGAACGGUAAGGCCCUUCGGGGUACACGAGUGGCGGACGGGUGAGUAACACGUGGGUGAUCUGCCCUGCACUUCGGGAUAAGCCUGGGAAACUGGGUCUAAUACCGGAUAGGACCACUGCCUGCAUGGGUGGUGGUGGAAAGCUUUUGCGGUGUGGGAUGGGCCCGCGGCCUAUCAGCUUGUUGGUGGGGUGAUGGCCUACCAAGGCGACGACGGGUAGCCGGCCUGAGAGGGUGACCGGCCACACUGGGACUGAGAUACGGCCCAGACUCCUACGGGAGGCAGCAGUGGGGAAUAUUGCACAAUGGGCGCAAGCCUGAUGCAGCGACGCCGCGUGAGGGGUGACGGCCUUCGGGUUGUAAACCUCUUUCAGCACCGACGAAGCGCAAGUGACGGUAGGUGCAGAAGAAGGACCGGCCAACUACGUGCCAGCAGCCGCGGUAA
rnacentral:rRNA from 1 species